AGGCUGUCCUCUUUAACAUUCAGAUGGAAGUAUGUUCACUCAGAGGGCAAGAGUACAACCAAGAUGUGGUGACUUUACUGUGAAUUGUACAAGUAGUGCUCAGCAAAACAGUAGGUGCACCUUUGGCUCUUCAGUGCUGCACUGGUCAUCAAGGAGGAUCCCCUGUUCCAUGAGAGCACGGUGCUCUCAGAGACUGAGGAAUGACUGAGGAAUGGAACCAAGUUUCUCCAGAGGCAGAGACAUUCAGGACACGGGAAGGGAAGAGCAAAAGCACCACAUAACACUUGUGCAGUGGGGAAGAGGGCUGCUGUGCCCCUAAGUCUGGAUGGGCUUUGCAUCUCAGAUCAUCCAUAGAAAGGUAUUUGGGGAAAAGACAAAGGUGGUGGCACAGGAAGCAGCUCUCAAGGAGAGGAUGGGACUAACGAAAUAAUCACUGCAGGAUAAAGGGUUCCUGGUUUGCAUCAGAGCUGCUGGAAUAAUCAGAGUUCUGAAAUCAUUAUCACUGAAGAUUUUGUCCAAGUCUGUUUUCAGUUCUGUUGUCUUCAAAGCUGGAAAGAAGAGGAGAGGCUGGUCAGGGCCAGCACAGCCUGUGUGUGUCCUUGGGGCCCUGAGAGGAGUGUGAGGAGUACAGAGCACUUCUGGCAAUGCCCUCAAAGAAAACCUGUAGAGAAGAAUAAAGAACCCCCACAUAAGUGGCUGGGAGCUCAGGGAGUCUGGAAAGGUAAAGUGUAUGUGGCAAACCCCUUUGUAGCACAUUUUGGAGAGGCACAGUCAGGAAAGACAGAGUUUCUGCUUGUUAGACAUGUAAACAGUCUGUCUGGGGGCAAGCUGCUGCUUCUGGAAACACUGGGCUCCGUUACAGAGGCCCAGGGCUUGUCUCAUCACCCCGAGGUGACUCAUUGCAGGGUUCAGCUCCGAGAGGAGGAGAGGGGGACCCUGAAUCCCAAGUGAUUCUGAGUUCCCUUUGUCACAGUUAUUCCUAUUGCUUAUUACACUGCUCUGUAGGGUGGGAAAACACUUCAGAACAGCUAGGCAAAGGAUGAAGCAUCUCUUCCAUACUGAAGGCCAAAUAGGUCUUUGAUGACCCAUAAUAACAAAAUUCUUACUGUCAUUCAGUAACAAGAUGGAAAAAACUCAUGUGUUUAGCUUUAUGCUGAAGUUGCACAUCUGGCUCCAUAGUUCGGGCUCCUCUCUGAUCCUCGUUUUCCCUCUGUGUUCAGGAACAGUGAAGUGACCAGUGUCAGGCAAGGACAUGUGACAGUGCAGAACUUAUCCCUGCUGAACAGCAUUGGGACAGGGAAUUCAUUGACUGGACAUAGGAAAACUGGACAAAACUAUUGCAAAGUUCAUGGUCUUUACAUGUAUUAAUUCAAUGCACUGACACAGACAUUUUGCACAUCCUGCUCACAUGGUUUGCAUUAAAAAGCAUUAUGAAAUCCCAAAGUCUAGUGCCAGAUGGUUUUGGGUUUCUUUGCUUGUAUAAAAGGUUUAAUUUAGGUGCAUGGAAAAUGUAAAAUACUCUGGUAAUGGCUUUAGCAGGACACCCAGCCUGCAUUUGCUUUAUUCAUCACCCUGCUGGCUCCUUCUGCACGUUAUAUUCGAGUCAUGAUAAAACUUCAAAACAUGAAGUCAAAUUUACUGACUUCCCAGAACAGACUAUGCUCUGUAAAAUGCUUAAAGGGACUGACGUGAAAGGAAAUAUUCCUAAAGACCCUCUGUGCUGAGAAACCACACGGUGAACAAAAAUAACCCUCUCUUUCCAAAUGCAUGGCUCCCAGGAAUGCCUGAGCCUGGUCCUGAGUGCAGAGGGAAGGGGGCAAUGGGGAAAGGUCAGCCAUACAGCUGUUGCUCCUGCCAGCAGCUUUCUGCCUGCUUUACUUGACGAGCUGAAUGAGUCUUUUAGCUCCUAUUAACAGGGAUCACAUUUUUCAGCUGAUCUUUUCUUGGUGGAACAGAUGAGCACCAGGAGUAUAAAUACGGAGUUAACUUGAAAUCUGAGCUGUUGGAAUUCACACAUCCCGUUCUCCAGGGCAGGAACAGGGUGAAGGGGCCCUGGCACUCUCCGGGUGUCCUCCUGCAGGGCCACUGUCCCAGCACGUACUGGGGCUCUGCCUCCUCACUAUUCACAUAUAGAAUUACUGCCCUCAGCCAGUCACACUCCAAAUGCAAGUGCAAAAUGUUGACCUGGUUAAUCCAGUAGCUUUCUAGGAGAUAAUAAUGAAAAUAAGCUGGAUUGUGUUUUAGAACAUUCUGAAGUUACUUCUUUAACUGGAUGUGAUUUUAGUUUUUUUAAACUUAGUCUAGAUGGGGAAGCCAGUGACCAGUUAGAGACAGUUUUUACCUCAGUAUCCUCUUUUCUACUGCUUCCGAAAUAAAUUGCUUAUUUUCAGGGGCACCACAAAAGUAAGGGCAUGACAUAUGAACAGUGGUCUUGUUCUCAGAGAUGUAACGGAGGGAAGGCUGGUUUGUACAGAGGGAAUCCCCUGGCUCUGCUUACCACCUUUUAUCAGUUUUCACUCACCCUUUUUCCAGCAGUACGUUUCCCCCUGAUUUUCUGUGUAAAACCCAGAGAGAUGUCAAAUAGAAAAACAACCCAGGGGUUUCAGAUUUGAUUUUGACAAGUUUAGUAUUACCAAAGAGUCUGUGUUUCCACUUGUACUGCAAUACAUACAAAAUUGCUGACUUGCAUUACAUUUGAUCAGUCUCCAAGUACUUUGCAAUAAUUAUUUGGAAGUAAUUUUUCUAUCAAGUUUUUCUCUAAAAAGCAAGUGAAACAAAGCAAAAUUUAGGAGAGCUGCAGGCUGCCAUGAAACCUUGUGAAAUGCACACAGCAGAGUGGACAACUCCAGGAGUACAGAGGCCUCCUGGUCUGUACUGCACAGUCCCAGGUAACUCUCCUCAGCUGUCCCACCUCCCCAGUGCCACUGGAAGCAGCUGCUGCUGUCAGCUGAGCCUGCACUCAGGAUUUUUUAGAGAGGUGGAGCUGGGGAGGAGCAAGAACAAUAUAACAAGUGUGUCAGGCGGUCCCGAGGUGCGGUGGUGCCGAGGUCAGGA